AUGAUACUCCCUUCGUCUAGAAAUACUUGUCAUCAAAAUGGAUAAAAGGGGAUGUAUCUAGACAUAUUUUAGUUUGAGAUACAUAUCUUUUUAUUCAUUUUGAUGACAAGUAUUUUCGGACGGAGGGAGUAGUAA
rnacentral:pre_miRNA from 1 species